AAGCUGUUGCGGUUAAAAAGCUCGUAGUUGGAUAUCAGUGCGUGUCCGGUCCGGUAUGCCCGGCGGCGGCGCUCGCGCGUCACUGCUGGGCUCCCAAAUAUCGGCUGGCCGCAUUCAAUCGUGCCGGAUCCGUCGACGGGCCGUUCUUCGGAGGGGCCUGUUGGCGACCGGCGACGUUACCUUGAACAAAUUAGAGUGCUCAAAGCAGGCUCUCAAUGCCUGUAUACAUAUUCAUGGAAUUGGAGAAUACGUCCCUGGCUCGAUUUGGUUGGUUUUGAGAGUCGAAGGGAAAAUGAUUAAUAGGGACUGACGGAGGCAUUCGUAUUGCGACGCGAGGGGGUGAAAUCCUGUGACCCGUCGCACGACGAACUACUGCGAAAGCAUUUGCCGAGAAUGUUUUCUUUAGUCAAGAACGAAAGUUAGAGGUUCGAAGGCGAUCAGAUACCGCCCUAGUUCUAACCGUAAACGAUGUCGACCAGCAAUCCGCAACGGUCACUACACGGACUGUGCGGGCAGCUUCCCCGGGGAAACCAGAGUGUAUGGACUCCGGGGGAAGUAUGGUUGCAAAGCGAAACUUAAAGG
rnacentral:rRNA from 1 species